rnacentral:rRNA from 1 species
AUUGAACGCUGGCGGCAGGCCUAACACAUGCAAGUCGAACGAGUGGCGGACGGGUGAGUAAUGUCUGGGAAACUGCCUGAUGGAGGGGGAUAACUACUGGAAUCGGUCGCUAAUACCGCAUACCAUCAGAUGUGCCCAGAUGGGAUUAGCUAGUUGGGGGGGUAACGGCUCACCAAGGCGACUAUCCAUAGCUGGUCUGCGAGGAUGACCAGCCAAACUGUGACUGAGACACGGUCCAGACGCCGACGGGAGGUAGCAGUGGGUAAUAUUGCACAAUGGGCGCAAGCCUGAUGCAGCAAUGCCGCGUGUAUGAAGAAGGCCUUCGGGUUGUAAAGUACUUUCAGCGGGGAGGCGUUACCCGCAGAAGAAGCACCGGCUAACUCCGUGCCAGCAGCCGCGGUAAUUC